GACGAACCGUGCGAACGUUGUUCGGAAUCACUGGGCUUAAAGGGCGCGUAGGCGGGCCAGCAAGUCAGGGGUGAAAUCCCGCGGCUCAACCGCGGAAGUGCCUUUGAUACUGCGGGCCUGGAGGGAGGUAGGGGCGUGCGGAACUUCCGGUGGAGCGGUGAAAUGCAUUGAGAUCGGAAAGAACACCAACGGCGAAAGCACUCUGCUGGGCCGACACUGACACUGAGAGACGAAAGCUAGGGGAGCAAAUGGG
rnacentral:rRNA from 1 species